rnacentral:rRNA from 1 species
UACGAAGGGGGGCUAGCGUUGUUCGGAAUCACUGGGCGUAAAGCGCACGUAGGCGGAUUGUUAAGUCGGGGGUGAAAUCCUGGAGCUCAACUCCAGAAUUGCCUUCGAUACUGGCUUUCUAGAGGCUGGAAGAGGUUAGUGGAAUUCCCAGUGUAGAGGUGAAAUUCGUAGAUAUUGGGAAGAACACCAGUGGCGAAGGCGGCUAACUGGUCCAGAUCUGACGCUGAGGUGCGAAAGCGUGGGGAGCAAACAGGG